AUUUAUUUAUUUUAAAGAGAGAAUGAGGAGGGAGUAGCGGGGCCUUGGGGAGGAGUGCAGGGACGAGCAGAGAGAGAAAGAGAGAAGGAGAAAGAAUCCCAAGCAAACUCCUCACUGAGCACAGAGCCCAAUCUCAUGAUCAUGACCUGAGCCAAAACCAAGAGUUGGAUGCUUAAACCAACAGAGCCAUCCAGGACCACUGUCAUUCCCACUGUGCUGACUCACCUGAUGAUGUGCCAUGAAAGCCAAAGACAGGGACCUCCCU
rnacentral:lncRNA from 1 species